rnacentral:rRNA from 1 species
AACGAACGCUGGCGGCAGGCUUAACACAUGCGAGUCGAACGCCCCGCAAGGGGAGUGGCAGACGGGUGAGUGACACGUGGGAACGUGCCUUUUGGUUCGGAACAACUCCGGGAGACUGGAGCUAAUACCGGAUAAGCCCUUCGGGGGAAAGAUUUAUCGCCAAAAGAUCGGCCCGCGUCUGAUUAGCUAGUUGGUGGGGUAAUGGCCCACCAAGGCGACGAUCAGUAGCUGGUCUGAGAGGAUGGCCAGCCACACUAGGACUGAGACACGGCCCAGACUCCUACGGGAGGCAGCAGUGGGGAAUAUUGGACAAUGGGCGCAAGCCUGAUCCAGCCAUGCCGCGUGAGUGAUGAAGGCCUUAGGGUUGUAAAGCUCUUUCGCCGAGGACGAUAAUGACGGUACUCGGAUAAGAAGCCCCGGCUAACUUCGUGCCAGCAGCCGCCGUAAAAC